rnacentral:lncRNA from 1 species
UAGAUUUGAGUUCUAACCUCUGAUUCCUAAUCGUUCAUACAGGAAAGAGACUUGGAAUUCUGUCAUCAUGAUGAAGAGGUGGCAAAAUAGAAACUUGAAGUUGUGUCUGAUUCGUUGGAUAGGUGUUUGUAUAAAGCUCAUCUUUGAUAUGAAGUAGGCUGAGUGGCAAUUGCUGGUUGUGAGUGGAGCCUAAACCAUGGAAGGAAUGAGUUGAUGAGUGAAUGAGUGAAUGAAAGAAAAUGUAGACCGUACACAGGCAGAUCAAUGUGUGCAGCUUUUUUCUUUUGCCAGAAAUUUAAAGUGUUUUCUUUAAUUUAAAAACAUAUUAAUGCUCUUUUUAGUAUUUUCUUGUAAAUGUGAAAUGUCUGCCAGUGCCUAGUUAAAUUAAAUAGCAGUUUGAAACCAUUUGUUGUAUAUUGUUCCAGACUCAUUUCCGUGCACAUAGAAAGUCUAAUUUUGUCUUUACAGAAAUGACAUCAUGCUAUGUCUAUCGCCCUGCACUUUGCCUUUUCCACUUACAAUUUCAUAUCUAUCCACCUAUCUAUCCAUUAUCUAUCUAUCCAUCUGUCAUCUACCCAUUCAUCUUCCAUCAUCUGUGCACCUGUGUAUCUACAUAUCCAUCACCUGACCAUUCAUCUUCUAUCCAUUUAUCUAUCAUCUAUCCAUCCAUCUUCUAUAUAUUAUCUAUGUAUCUAUCCAUCCAUCAUCUAUUAUCUAUCUAUCUAUCUAUCUAUCUAUCUAUCUGACACCUAUCUCUUAUUGUUGUCCUUCCAUUCCUGUAGAUAUGGACCAACUUCUUCCGUCCUUCUUUUUCUUCUACUUCUCUCUUUCUUUCUUCUUUCUUUCUUUCUCUUUCUUUCUUUCUUUUUCUCUCUCUUUCUCUCUCUCACUCUCUCUUUCUUUCUUUCCUCUCGACCCUGUUUAUUGAUAAUUCAACAGAACCAGUUUGAAAUAUGGAGAAAUUAGGUCAACUCUACACUUUCACAUGGCUUAUUUUCAGCUUCCAAUCUUAGCUAGUGACAUGACUCUUUCUUCCAAGUCGAGGUCUUGCAGCACUUGCCUUCACUCCCGUAGCUGUAGUUAGACAGCACCUUAGGCUUGGGUCGACCCUCGGUGAACUCUAUGCCGUGUCCCGCCGCGCCACAGCACAGCUUUCUCCUCAUUGUCUUCUGGCUCUGACUGUAGACAUGGAAAAAGCAGAGUCAACCUGAAUCUUCUCCCUUGCACGAGGCCAACUGCUGCCUGAAUCAUCAUAGGAUUCUUUACUUUCUCUUGAAGAUAAACAACUUCACCAGAAAAUGUCCAAGUGUUGUUCAGCAAUUGAGAGUUUCUUUUGCUAUGUUUGUUUUCAUCACUUUUACUUCAUACCUUUUUUUUUUCAUUUAAUUUUGUGUCGUUUUUCUCAAGGCUGACACAUCACAAACUCUGUUUUCAACAGUCCGUAUUCCACAUUCAUUGCUUCUAACAUGGAGCUAACUUCUGCAAUGAUGUGGCCACCACUGGAACAGGAAGGUUGCUGUCAGAAUCUGGAGAAAUUCAUGGGAAGUUUAAUGUUGCCAGUGAGAGAAACACUCUGUGAGCUGUUCUUAGGGUCUGCUGGUGAGAUGGCUCAGGAAGGGUAAACACUGGAGGCAUGAGAAUACCAUCGAAGGGGCCGACUGCAGUGCCGGGCAUUGUGUAGGCCACAGCCACCAGUGCCUCCAUGUUUCUGACCAAAUGCUUCAGUGCCCUUUAGUGAGUGUGUCGCAGACAAGGCAUUUUUGUAUGAGAUCCAGGGUUCAUACCAUCAUGAUUCUUAGCCUUCAUAUUCAUCACACACUGGAAGGGACGCUGCGUGCCAGGCGUUCCGGCCGGCCAUCUGCGGGGGAAGGAGGAGCAUG